CUUUAGCAUGGUUUCAAGUGCAACCUUGAAAAUUGGUUUCUUACAGCAUUUUGUGGGGCACAAGCUGGGAGCUGAGAGCAACAAACUCCUUUGGUCAUGAGACAAGCUUCACUUCACUCCUGUUGUUUCCAGUCACCACAGAAACCAAAGUGAAGGGGUGGACAUAUGGAUGCUUGGAUACCUGUCCAAUACAGCAUCAAGAUAGAGCUGAAGCUUAUACCCAGACCUGGUUAACUCACUUUAUGGUUCUCAUGACCUGAAUCAAAAAAUAGCUUUAAGAUGGCUGAAUGGAUACUCAUCUAGUGAAUUGUUUUCUAUAAUAUUAUGAUAAUGAAUUGAAUCAUGAAAAACAAUAAUAAAACAUCUCCAUAUUGCAUCCAUGGAGAUUCACUAGGGUGAAUUACACUAAAUGGAUUUUUAUGUGGAAUGGGUGUCUUUUCCAAAGUUCAACGAGAGUCAAGACUACAUCCGUACAUGUUUAGGAGCCAAAAAUUGUCUUUGUUGGGUUGGAUAUCUUCCUCUUUAGAAGAACCUUUCUGUCAGAGAAACAGAAGACAGCUUUCUCCUGCCUUCCUGAAAAGUCCUGCAUGGAAUAGACUCCUGCAGCCAGGAAAACGCAAGGAGUAUAAAAUCCAGAUGGUUCCAUGAUGCUGGAACCAGCCACAUCACAUUGAUUAAAGGAAACCUAAAGGAAAUCAAGUAAAAAUCCAAACACCGGAUAGUGAGAGCAGAAAACUGGCUGCACUGUGGAGUUUCAUCACAGCUCUGGCCUCCCCAAACCUCCCUGAAUGUUAACCUGUAUUUAAUAUUCAUUAAGGUGUGGGAAGGCAGGCAGGCCUUGCAGAGGUAUGGAGCAGCAUCUGGAAUCCCUAUGGAUAACUGCAGGACUGUUUAUACUUCUUUGUUUAUUAUUCUGAGUGUGUGCUCUCUCCCUCUUCCUCUCUUUGUCUCCCUUUGUGUAAUAAAGCUCCUCUAGGCAUAUAAAGUAAGUCA
rnacentral:lncRNA from 1 species